AUCCAGCUGACGAGUCGCAAAUUGGACGAAAUGCGCGUCCUGGAU
rfam:Schistosoma mattheei strain Denwood, Zambia genome assembly, scaffold: SMTD_scaffold0008344